rnacentral:piRNA from 1 species
UUAGCUUGCUAUCAAGGAUUACGC